rnacentral:rRNA from 1 species
UUGGGAAUUUUGCACAAUGGACGCAAGUCUGAUGCAGCAACACUGCGUGAAGGAUGAAGGUUUUCGGAUCGUAAACUUCUUUUAUCUGGGAAUAAAUAUGAAGGUACCAGAUGAAUAAGCACCGGCUAACUACGUGCCAGCAGCCGCGGUAAUACGUAGGGUGCAAACGUUAUCCGGAUUUACUGGGCGUAAAGAGCUCGUAGGUGGUUUUGAAAGUUGAAUAUUAAAUACCCUGGCUCAACUAGGGAAAAGUAUUCAAAACUCCAUAACUGGAGGUAUGCAGGGGAAGAUGGAACACACGGUGUAGCAGUGAUAUGCGUAGAUAUCGUGUGGAACGCCAAAGGUGAAAACAGUCUUCUGGGCAUUACCUGACACUGAGGAGCGAAAGCGUGGGGAGCGAACGGG